GGACCAGCUACUCGCGAUGUACCCCAUA
rnacentral:sRNA from 1 species